rnacentral:rRNA from 1 species
GUAGGUGGCAAGCGUUGUCCGGAAUUAUUGGGCGUAAAGCGCGCGCAGGCGGUUCUUUAAGUCUGAUGUGAAAGCCCACGGCUCAACCGUGGAGGGUCAUUGGAAACUGGAGAACUUGAGUACAGAAGAGGAAAGCGGAAUUCCACGUGUAGCGGUGAAAUGCGUAGAGAUGUGGAGGAACACCAGAGGCGAAGGCGGCUUUCUGGUCUGUAACUGACGCUGAGGCGCGAAAGCGUGGGGAGCAAACAGGAUUAGAUACCCUGGUAGUCCACGCCGUAAACGAUGAGUGCUAAGUGUUAGGGGGGUUUCCGCCCCCCUUAGUGCUGCAGCUAACGCAUUAAGCACUCCGCCUGGGAGUACGGCCGCAAGGCUA